rnacentral:rRNA from 1 species
GACGAACGCUGGCGGCGUGCUUAACACAUGCAAGUCGAGCGGAGCGGCGAACGGGUGAGUAACGCGGGAGUAACUGCCCCCCUCUCUGGGAUAACAGAUGGAAACGGCUGCUAAUACCGGAUAGUGGGGGAUGACUCGCGUCCUAUCAGCUUGUUGGUGGGGUAGUGGCCUACCAAGGCGACGACGGGUAGCCGGCCUGAGAGGGCGAACGGCCACAUUGGGCUGAGAUACGGCCCAAACUCCUACGGGAGGCAGCAGUGGGGAAUAUUGCACAAUUGGGGAAACACUGAUGCAGCACCGCCGCGUGAAGGAAGACGGUCUUCGGAUGGUAAACUUCUUUAGACAGGGACGCGGUACCUGUAGAAUAAGCCACGGCUAACUACGUGCCAGCAGCCGCGGUAAUUC